UUUUAAUGUAUUUUACUAAUUCAGUUUUGUCACAAGAAGUCUAUUUCCAUUCUGUUGUUUGCAAUUCACCGGGUUUUAAGAAUACGACAGUUAAUAGUGACAUGAGAUAUAUGGUUUGGGAUAACCCCCCUAAGAUGGAGCCUCUCUUCCUCAACACUUCUGAUUACGAUCUGAUGGCGCAAAGUGGAGCUGCUUUUGCUAGACAGUUUAAUAGAGACGAGGCAGUACUUGACAUGAUUGAUCAGAAUAUCCUUAAGCGCAGCCCUAACAGAGUGACGCCUGGUGCAUGGUGCAUCGGUCGCAAGAAUUGGUGGAUGGAUCCUUGUUCCCGAUGGGGUGAUGUCAACGUGUUGAAACCUG
rnacentral:misc_RNA from 1 species